GAGAGAAGAAAUUUAAUAUUUGCGAUUAUCAAUCCUCUCUGUGUUGCAACAGGUCAGAGCUUAUAGUAUGCCUACUGCAAAUGUUAAUGCAAAAUUGAUGUUUUGAACAUUUGCUCUCUAUCUCUACAGCUUCGUUUAUUGCAAUCCUUAAGUAUAUAGGAGAUAGGAUGGUUGCCAAAGCUAGACGUAGAGAAAGGAUGGGCCAGACAGCCAAAGGGUCACCUCGACAACGUGCAUGCACGGUGGUGCCCUGCCGUGGAUGUUCCCAAGCAGGCAAGUGGCACAACCAACUCAAAAGGUGUGAAUCUGAUUGUGUAGAAUUCAGUUUGAGCAGUGCCUCUUAGAGUCAGUUUACAGAGUGAAUGACAGAAACAUAUGUGAUGUGUGGAUGAUAACAGUAUGCAUGCCCAUGUUGUGUGUGCAUGUUUUGGAUUGAAUGCAUGGUGCUGGUCCUGGAUU